AUGCAUCUCUGACAGACCUGGAGUAGUGAAUAUUUGCUGCUAAGGUUUCCUUUAAAGAUACAAGAAAAAAAGGUCUUUAUGCUUUCUGUCUGUCUGAUGGUGGCAGCCAAGAUUAAAUAGGAGAUACAGGA
rnacentral:snoRNA from 1 species